AACGAACGCUGGCGGCAUGCCUAACACAUGCAAGUCGAACGAGACCUUCGGGUCUAGUGGCGCACGGGUGCGUAACGCGUGGGAACCUGCCCUUAGGUUCGGAAUAACUCCCCGAAAGGGGUGCUAAUACCGGAUAAUGUCUUCGGACCAAAGAUUUAUCGCCUUUGGAUGGGCCCGCGUUGGAUUAGCUAGUAGGUAGGGUAAAAGCCUACCAAGGCGACGAUCCAUAGCUGGUCUGAGAGGAUGAUCAGCCACACUGGGACUGAGACACGGCCCAGACUCCUACGGGAGGCAGCAGUGGGGAAUAUUGGACAAUGGGCGAAAGCCUGAUCCAGCAAUGCCGCGUGAGUGAUAAAGGCCUUGGGGUUGUAAAGCUCUUUUACCCGGGAUGAUAAUGACAGUACCGGGAGAAUAAGCUCCGGCUAACUCCGUG
rnacentral:rRNA from 1 species